AGAGUUUGAUCAUGGCUCAGAUUGAACGCUGGCGGCAUGCUUUACACAUGCAAGUCGAACGGGCCUGGGGGCAACUCCAGGUCAGUGGCGAACGGGUGAGUAAUGCAUCGGAACGUGUCCCGUAGUGGGGGAUAACAUCCCGAAAGGGAUGCUAAUACCGCAUAACAUGCUGUCGUUUAAUAGACGGACAUCAAAGCCGGGGGCCGCAAGGCCUGGCGCUUGAAGAGGGGCCCGCGCCUGAUUAGCUAGUUGGUGGGGUAAUGGCUCACCAAGGCAACGAUCAGUAUCCGGCCUGAGAGGGCGGACGGACACACUGGGACUGAGACACGGCCCAGACUCCUACGGGAGGCAGC
rnacentral:rRNA from 1 species